ACAACAACAACAACAACAACAAACCCAGUGUAUUCCCACCUAGUGGGGUCUGGGGGGGUAAGAUGUACGCAGUCCAUACCUCUACCUCUGAUGAAGUAGAAAGGUUGUUUCCGAAAGACCCCCGGCUCAAGGCACGAGAUACCACACAAACACAUAGUAAAGCACAGAAGCAGAUUACAUAACAUAAAUACGGCACCCAUAAGUAUUAUAAAACAGAGGAAAGCACAAAGAUUCGUAAUAAAACAUGGAACACGGAACAUGGAAUCAUAACAGGAAUAAAACCCCCACCAAGUAAAAAAAAAAAGUCAGUCCACACAUCCAGCGCAACAUCCGCAUUUCUGCCACCUUCAUUUUUUGGAUGUGGGAGUUCUUAACUGGCCAACACUCCGCUCCAUACAGCAAGGCCGGACGGACUACCACCCUAUAGAAUUUGCCUUUAAGCUUGGGCGGCACCUUCUUAUCACACAGCACCCCCGAUGCGAGUUUCCACUUCAUCCAUCCCGCCCCAAUACGGUGCGAGACAUCCUCGUCAAUCUCACCGUUACUCUGGAUCACGGACC
rnacentral:lncRNA from 1 species